AAUAGAUACCCAGGUAGUCCACGCCGUAAACGAUGAGUGCUAAGUGUUAGAGGGUUUCCGCCCUUUAGUGCUGAAGUUAACGCAUUAAGCACUCCGCCUGGGGAGUACGGUCGCAAGACUGAAACUCAAAGGAAUUGACGGGGGCCCGCACAAGCGGUGGAGCAUGUGGUUUAAUUCGAAGCAACGCGAAGAACCUUACCAGGUCUUGACAUCCUCUGACAACCCUAGAGAUAGGGCUUUCCCUUCGGGGACAGAGUGACAGGUGGUGCAUGGUUGUCGUCAGCUCGUGUCGUGAGAUGUUGGGUUAAGUCCCGCAACGAGCGCAACCCUUGAUCUUAGUUGCCAGCAUUCAGUUGGGCACUCUAAGGUGACUGCCGGUGACAAACCGGAGGAAGGUGGGGAUGACGUCAAAUCAUCAUGCCCCUUAUGACCUGGGCUACACACGUGCUACAAUGGACGGUACAAAGAGUCGCGAGACCGCGAGGUGGAGCUAAUCUCAUAAAACCCGUUCUCAGUUCGGAUUGUAGGCUGCAACUCG
rnacentral:rRNA from 1 species